rnacentral:misc_RNA from 1 species
GGAAACGUCCUGACCAGGAAGCCAACAAAGUCAAAAUUUCAAGAAAAGUUUCUUGGAACCUUUUGACCGAAAGUUCCUUUUUCGAAUCAAGAUGUAAAGAAAGAAAGAAAAGCGGGGAACAAAAAUGAACGCUUACGCGCGCUCCGGUGAUCGGCGAGUCGAGCCAAAUGCGACCCGGAGCUCGGGGGGGAUCUGAAUCAGUCCGACGCCGGAGGCGUCUUGGGCGGGCGGGCGGCCUCGGCUCCUGCGAGCCCCUGCUCGACGUCACCGGCGCCGCGCGGGCUGUAGGAGGUGCCGACCACGGCCUGCUUGCCUCUGCUCAGCAGCCGGCGCAGCGACCGCAGCCUGGCGGAGACCGGGGACCGCGUCUCGUCGGCGCUCCCAGGCACCCGGCUCGCCGGCAGCGGGGAGUUGAAGGGCGGCGUGGUGGUCAGGGCCACGGGCCGCGUCGGGAUGUCGAUGACCAGGUUCUCCUUCCUGCGCCCGGAGGCCGAGGAGCUCGCGGAGACGGCGCUGGCGACGGGCGGCGGCGGGGGCGGGGGCGUGGCGAGGCCGGCGUUGGCGACCUCGUCGUGGGUGCCCCAGAACAGGACGUUGGUGGGGAACUCGAGCGACGCGCCGAAGGGCUCCUCCCGCGGCAGCGCGUCGAGGUCGCCGCCGACGGGGGCGCGGCAGAGCGGGCAGGUGUCGUGGGAGUGGAACCACAUGUCGAUGCACUCCACGUGGAACGCGUGCCCGCACUUGGGCAGCGUCCGCACCUUCUCGCCGUCGGCCACCUCGGACAGGCACACGGCGCACUCCAGCGCCUCCUUGCUGCUCUUGGUGCCCGGGCCGCCGCCGCCGUAGACCGCGACGGGGAGGGAGCGCAGGGCGGAGGCGGGCAGGCCGCGCUGCGGGAGCGGGGACGCGGCCACGAAGAGGAACCGCGAGGACGGCGACGCCACGAGCGGGUUCCCGGCGCCCAGGUACCGCUUGGCGUAGAGGUAGAGGAGGAAGACGAACACGACGACCAUGAAGAGGAAGAUGACCGCCGCGAGGAGCACCCCGUUGCUGAUGACCACCUGCUGAUGUCCCGAGCUGCCCG